AUUGAACGCUGGCGGAAUGCUUCACACAUGCAAGUCGAACGGCAGCACGGGGCAACCUGGUGGCGAGUGGCGAACGGGUGAGUAAUACAUCGGAACGUGCCCAAUCGUGGGGGGAUAACGUAGCGAAAGUUACGCUAAUACCGCAUACGAUCUACGGAUGAAAGCGGGGGAUCGCAAGACCUCGCGCGAAUGGAGCGGCCGAUGUCAGAUUAGGUAGUUGGUGGGUAAAGGCUCACCAAGCCAACGAUCUGUAGCUGGUCUGAGAGGACGACCAGCCACACUGGAACUGAGACACGGUCCAGACUCCUACGGGAGGCAGCAGUGGGGAAUUUUGGACAAUGGGGCGCAAGCCUGAUCCAGCCAUGCCGCGUGUGUGAAGAAGGCCUUCGGGUUGG
rnacentral:rRNA from 1 species